GAUGAACGCUGGCGAGAUGCCUUAUACAUGCAAGUCGUACGAGAGUUUUUAACUCAAGUGGCGGACGGGUGAGUAACACGUAAGAAUUUGCCUUUAGGAGGGGGACAACAACUGGAAACGGCUGCUAAUACCCCAUAUGCUUUCGAGUGAAAUGGAUUUUUCCGCCUAGAGAGAAGCUUGCGGCUGAUUAGCUUGUUGGUGAGGUAAUGGCUCACCAAGGCGACGAUCAGUAUCUGGUUUGAGAGGACGAUCAGACACACUGGAACUGAGACACGGUCCAGACUCCUACGGGAGGCAGCAGUAGGGAAUUUUCCGCAAUGGGCGAAAGCCUGACGGAGCAAUCUCGCGUGAGGGAUGACGGCCUAUGGGUUGUAAACCUCUUUUUUCAGGGAGGAAUCAAUGACGUGUACUCUGAAGAAUAAGCAUCGGCUAACUCCGUGCCU
rnacentral:rRNA from 1 species